rnacentral:lncRNA from 1 species
AUGUUUGACACAUGUGACAUUCACUGCCUUUUUCUGAUAGCAGCUGUCAAGUAUUCAGGGAGAAAUGCUGGCCGAUCACCCCACAUACAUGGAUUAAUAAUGAUAUGGAUCCGCUUGGUGCAAGUGCAAAAGAAACCACAGAUGGAAGCUCACAGAUGGAAGCCCGCUGAUCAUACAGCUGUUUCUUUGUUGCCUUCUGCCAUCCACUGUGAGAGACAUAUGCCCUGGACUGCUAUUUGUUCAAGUGGAGUGAGAAAAUGCACGGAGCAGACCUAA